AGCUGUUAGGACUCUCCAGCUGCCCUGCAGCCCUUAACGAUGAGCAUCACACUUUGUUCCUGCAGACUGAGGACCGCGCAGAGGGUGGGAGGUGAGUGGUAAGCCCAGCUGCCCCUAAACAGCCUCUCAGCUCCUCUGUGGAUUAAUGGGUCUGCUUUCGCCAGCAGGUGUCGCCCUUGUCCCAAGGAAGUUGCAUCAGUAUCAGGACGCCUAGAGAUCGAGCUAAGAACAAAAGCCGUUAAAAAUACCCCAGCGAUUCAUUUCUGAUGUCCAAGAGCAACUGAGGCUUGUUUCAUGUCCCAGCUGGGUGCUGUUCUUGUGCAAGCUACAUGUACAUUUGAUGGAGGGCAAGAGGCCACAGAGAAAACUCUGCCCUACUUUCCUCCCUCUCCUCCACCCAUCUCCACACCGCCAACCUCUCCACACCCCCAAGGGCCAGGCCCUGCCCAGGGAGGGGAUUGCCCUGAUUAAAGCCAGCAGUACAAGCCCAGCUGUCCCCGGUGGAGAUAACCACUGCCUGAAAGGAGGUUUCCAAGGUGGCACCUUGCCCAGCCUGUUACAUGACCUGGGAGCAAUGCAGCGCAUCAUCUCUCUGCCGCCUGCUUGGAGAAGGCCCCAGGUUCAGCCCCGUGAAAUGGGUUGCAAUGGACUUACACAAGAAGCUUGCCCAGAGCAGAGGGGAGUAGAUGAUCACACCUCAGGGACUCCAGCAUCCCUCCAGCAGUGAUUUUACAGCCCAGCUCUGAGAUCCCAGACCAUCGAGCCUUCAUUACUUCUCCAAAGUACCAUGCUACAUAGAGGAUCAAGCUAAAUGAAGCCCCAUUCGCUGCACAAAGAAACAAAGUACAUUUUGCAAUACAAGGCUCUUGAAUUUUAUUGUUCGCUUUUCUCACUAAUUCGCAAAACGCAUUAAUCUGCAAUGGAAGGCAUUCAUGGAAAUGAGCAAGGCUCUAUCUUAAUAAUUCUUCUGAGUUAUGGACAGUUGAGCAGGGAACACAUGGUACUGGCGGUAUAAGUGUGUGCCGUUUCAAAGUUAUACUGCCGCAUAUUGAGUAAUUGUAUUUUAAUUUGGUGUUUAAUGACUUGAAGCCAUACAGCAAGUUCUACGAUAUCCUUUAAUUGUCAGGGCUUUUAUGCAUCAUAUUAAAUUACAUUUCCUUUUGAGAAAACUUGGAAGUUUGUAGGCCUACCACAAUACUUCAACCAGUUUUGCUUGCUUGCAAGGGAACAAGUUCUCCUCUGAGAAGGCAACUAAGUGAUAUAUGUAUUCUAAGCCCACGUUAACAGAUGAUUAUAUGGCAGCUUAUGGUCAGACGCUCUGAUCAUUUGGGGACUUUGCACAUACAGCUCACCACCUCUUUUUGACACGGGGCACCUUCUGUGUCACCCUCUGCUAGACUGCAACCCCAGCUGCCCGUGGGACUGGUGUGUUGUCCUUUUACAUCUGUGUUGGCUGAACUUCCAAGAAAUGGCCUCCAACAACAGAGGAUGGGUAAAGAUCUAAUCACACUGAGCCUUCUCACUUUGGCAAAAGGCUGGCCAUGCCAGUGGGGUAAAUCAGACUGCUGGGAGUGCCACACUUCCAGAGCUAGCUUGGGGUUGCUCUAUGCUGCCCAGAAGGGAUAAAUUGGUGCGGGGGUAGGCUGGGGUGGGGGCGUAAAUAUGUGCACUGUGCAUGGUGUGGAUCCAGGACCAGCCACUGCAUGCUGCACGUGGGUCAGCACAGACCUAGAGAUAGCACCAGGGGAGAGAUGACAGGGCUCCAUGGGCUGUAUCAUGGACACCCCUGCCUUACACAAGAAUCACGUGGUGGGAGACUAGUUACCUGAGGUGACCAAUUCCCUGACGCUGAAGCAAGAGAAGAAAGACUAACAGAUGGGGGCUAUGUCCCAGAGCAGAAACAGGAGGGCAGGGAGAGCAAGGACUGUGUACUACUUAGGAGCUUCUGACUUCAGCUCAAAGGACACUCAAAAGCCAUGAGAAAACUGAAACAGAGAAAUGCUGGGAGCUUAUCUGUCUACCGCUAUUUCUCAUGCUGGCUGAAAUCAAGACCAACUGGUUCUUUGAACCCCUUAAAAAGUCUGUUGGCUUCAACUAUCACGUCCCUGAAGAAAUGAACAGGAAAUUCAGGGUGCCUAGAGCACUGAGAAGGGGUGUGAGAGUUAUAGGCCUCAGGGAGGUGGGGUAAGAGAUAGGCUCUACCUUGGAGGUGGUGUCAAAGAGGGCAGGAAGAGCCAGCACCACAGCCCAUCCAACUGUGCCUUCAGAAAGGGCCAAGGGCGCUGGGAGCUGACCGCAGUCACGGGUGGGAAACCAGGGCUUGGAGACAGACCCAGCACAAGGAAAUUACAGGAACAAUGCAGGACACUUCUACAGAAAGCAAACCUGUCAAACCAGUACCUGUGCCAAUGCCUUUCUGAAUCUCACGUCAGACCCAGCAGCUCCAGGCAAGGAACAAGCUUCCGUGUGGCCCAGUUUUCAGCAGUGAUAGCAGGAGCUAGGGCUCACUGAUCCACAUGGGCCACUCCAGUCCUGUUAAAUGAGACAAUUCCCAAAAGCCUCUCUCGAGCUCAAAAAUGAACACAGCAAUAACAGCCCCAGUUGGUGACAAUUACGGCCUCAUAACAAACAUGCAGACAGUUUCUUGCUCUAGUUCACGCUACCCUGCCACCUGCACUGGUCCCAAGGCACAACGCUUUCAGCAUUUCUAAUAUACCCUUCCUAUUAUGAAGGGGUUAAAAGAGAUGUAAAGUUGAGAAGAAGCUUCAAACUGCUGAAGUCAGCUGCCCCAAACCAAGUUUAGCUCUAAAGUCUCCGAUGCCUGGAAACAGGAAGCCGGGGGUGCUCAGAAGCAGUCAGUCACUGCGAUGGAGAUUCCUUCAACUAUCCUUUUUUUUAGGAAAGUAGGGAGAAGAAAGAUAACAUACUGUUCAGGGAGUGAUUAAAUUGUGUAAUCUCACUAUCUCAAGUGAUGUAAUUUGAUGUAAUCAAAUAAACAAAUUACUCUACGUUAAAGAAGGAGCUUGUCGAGGC